GACGAACGCUGGCGGCGUGCCUAAUGCAUGCAAGUCGAGCGCAGGAAAUCAUCCGAACCUUUCGGGGGGACGUUGAUGGAAUGAGCGGCGGACGGGUGAGUAACACGUAAAGAACCUGCCCUCAGGUCUGGGAUAACCACGAGAAAUCGGGGCUAAUACCGGAUGGGUCAUCGGACCGCAUGGUCCGAGGAUGAAAGGCGCUUCGGCGUCGCCUGGGGAUGGCUUUGCGGUGCAUUAGCUAGUUGGUGGGGUAAUGGCCCACCAAGGCGACGCUGCAUAGCCGACCUGGGAGGGUGAUCGGCCACACUGGGACUGAGACACGGCCCAGACUCCUACGGGAGGCAGCAGUAGGGAAUCUUCCACAAUGGACGAGAGUCUGAUGGAGCAACGCCGCGUGAACGAUGAAGGCCUUCGGGUCGUAAAGUUCUGUUGUAAGGGAAGAACAAGUGCCGCAGGCAAUGGCGGCACCUUGACGGUACCUUGCGAGAAAGCCACGGCUAACUACGUGCCAGCCGCCGCGGUAA
rnacentral:rRNA from 1 species